CUUCAUUUAACCAUUUUUUGUAAUACGUGUGGUACGAACAUUUAGUAAGCUUUUAUAUUUGCUGUAACAAAUUUUAUCAAAAAAAUUCUUGUUUCUGAUCUCAUUUUGUCUAAUAUUUCGUUACGUUUUUUACGAAUUUCGUUACGUUACGAAAAAGUACAACAUAAUGCUGAGUGUAUACUGUUAUUACCUGACUAAGCAUAGUAAUAUUCACUUCUUAAUUUAUUUCAAAAAAUAUAGAGCGUUAAUAACAAAAGGAUUGGAUACUAUCUGCUUUACAGAAGUGCCACCAGCAAAAAAUUAUCAAAUCAUUUAGAUUACGUUUUUAUGUGAUUACUUCUUUUGUUUUUUUAGGAAUGCCGCCAAAAACCAAUGCCGAAAGGCAAAAAGCUUACAGAGAACGACUCAAAAUGGAUAAACAUGAUGGAACAAAAAUAAUUUUAUUAAAAUAGUAUGAAUGAUUACUCCCUUAUUUUAUUUCUAACCCCUUAAUAUUACCCCGUAUUUGGGUGCAUACUUACAAAUAUUUCGAAUUGAAUAAAUGAAGAGAAUUCACAAUAUUUCGCCAAUGUAUAACAAGCCUUAUGGCCUUACUAUUUCGUUACUACCGUUUCGUUACGUACAUUUUUUUUGAGAAAUACUCAUAUAACAAUUAGUUUUUACCCAAAAUAAAUUUCUGUCACAGAAAAUUUUGAUCGCGCGCGUCCUUGUAUCUAAAACCGGCAUAAAAACUAUCCUAUGUCUGACUCUCAACUUCUCUAUACAAAAUUUCAUCAAAAUCGGUUCAGUGGUUUAGGCGUGCAAGCAUAACAGACAGUUACUCGCAUUUAUAAUCUUUAAAAGUAGGACUAUGAUUACGUUAAGAAGAUGAUUUAAUAUAUGUAAUUACUAAAGAAUCAUUUAAAUGAUUCUUUGCCUUAGUUACAAUGUAGAACAUUACUGUCCUCGUAUUUAUAGCUGGGGGUGAAAUAUAAGAGCUAUGCCCAAUUCCUUUACUCCCCCGACUUGAAUACCUACAUAGUGUAUUUGAUAGCAAUCUACACUAGGAAGGCAACUGUUUUUUACUUAUCUAAACAUUUACUAAAGUACUUAGUUGUUAAAAAAACAGCAUUUAUGAGAUGCAACUUUAACUACAAGUUACUAUUUUUUAGAAACUAGGUUCGAGACAACUAAUAAUUAAUGCCAGAAAAAAAAAUCUAAUAAUUUUUUAUUACUUUUCAGUAGUUUUCAGUUACUUAUAAAUUCAUAUUUGCACAUGCACAAAUUCGUUUAGACAGUGGUUAAGCCUACUACACUAGACCUUGACGAGGCAGACAUUUAUUGCAGAAACUACGAUAAUACGAGUUCGCGACCUUCACCCCAUCAUCUGCCGAGUAGACCCGUUUAAUUAGUCAGAUUAACGUAGAGCGAAACACGGAGGCCGAGCCGGACGAAGGCUCCGCGUAAACGCACCAACUGUCCGCAGCCGGUGGAUGUUCAUGUCACGCGCCAUGUCUUUUUCAUACCGCGCAAAUGAAGAUUUGUGUCGAGUGGCCGUCACCGUAACCGUGACGCGGACACCAAGUUGACCGAGUCGCGAGUGGAAGCCAGUGCGGUGCCUAAGGAGACAGCCCCAGCCCCAUGAAGCAAUUCUGCAAUCUAGCAUUGAUUAGAACCAGAGUUAGAACUAAGUAAGGUUUUACGUGAUAGACUUGAGUAUUUUCUUCUGAACUAAUAAAGAAAUUCACCAUAUCGUGGCGAUGAAAGAUGUGGGAGUAAAAUAAAUAAAUAGAUCAAUAAAUAAAAGUCUAAAACGUCGUCACUUCGUUUCCAAUGGUAACAAAAUUCCUAUCCUUUAAAAAAUAUCCUAGUUUAUUUAAAAUAUCUAUUUUAUUUUUUAUUUUAUUUUAUUAGGGACAACAAACAAAUCUAUUCAUCAACACACGAAAUAAAUAAACAUGCGAAACAACAAGCGAGAAAAAAGGAGUGGUGCGGUGCACGUCUUACAUUUUACGAUGACUUUUUAAUAAGUAGGAUGUCUUAAUGUGGGGGACCUCGAAGUUCGUUUUUUUUCACAUCACAAUGUUUACAUUACCGCGGAUUGAUAAACUAACUAAAAAACUGGUUUUACAAACAAUAGCACAGAGAUUGCCCACAGCAGCAUGACGCGUGUUCGAUGGCUUCCGUUUCGAUUCCCGGUCAUAUAAUUUUGUAAACCGCUAUCAUAGACGAUUCCUUUAACUCUCGUCUGCGCGUAAUAAGUUACUUGCAUAGUUAGGUGCUAUUUAUUUUUUAUUAUUAGUAUAGUAAUUAUCUACCUAUUUCGUAACUAGUAUUGUCUUAUAUUGUAAUAAAGUGUGCGCAGUCGACGACACAAGUUACAGUUUCAUUAAGUUGGUAUUCAACGAUCUAUUAAUUAACUAUUAUAUGUAAAUUAAGGAAGAGCGGGGGCCUCCUGACACAGGAGCUUCUCUACGCGCCUACCAGGCUGGCCCCUACAAAUUGUAUGUUAAAACAAAGGUAGACUGAAAUAGACCAGCGUGCCGCGCGAGCACAUUCGCCCAGUGUGGACGCACCAUUAUGAUACGGUACCUACAAAAGUACUAAAUAUAAGACCAUAAGUUAUCGCUUCAUGAGAUGACAGGACAGAUUUGUGUACAUAUGACUUGCUGUUGUCUACUAACCCUACUAAAUCGGUGGGUGAAAUUGUGAACUAUCCCUCUAUAAAAGUAGCAUAGUGCCUCUCGUAAAGUAGCAAUAGUCCGGUUAUUAGUUAAAUUGAACUAAUAGGUACUUGGUUGUUGGGGCUUUAUGAUAUCUGGAUUCUGAACUGAGGGCCCAUUUGUUUUACUAGGACGUUGCACGCGUUGGUUUGGUUAUUCGAACGACGGCUCCUCAAAAUCUGUAUUCGGCAUCUUUGUAACCGUAUUACUAAGGCCAUUUUGAAAUAUGUAUCUGAUGUGGUGAAUAUAAUUGAUAUAAGGCAGGAAAUUACAUAUUGUGCUAUUUAGCACUAAAAAGAAAUGAUAACUGGCAGUGAAUGCCUUCUGAGAUUAAGUUCCACUUAUGUAGCAAUUAGUUAUAUGGCAAUAAAGUUUACAUACAUAAACAUGCAAGCUUCAAUAGAAAAAAUAAAUAAAAACGGAGUGUAUAACUGGUAUAACUUUGUGGUAUGACGAAGAUUAAAAUUUGUACAUGGAAUGAGCAUAAAAUAAUGUACCAUUCUAAAACGGCAAAACAAUGUUUACAUUUAAUAUUACAUAGGUAGGUAGUACUUUCUGCUAAGGAAAUCUUAGUACUUAUCUAAUCUCGAGUCUGCACAGGCACAGUCGCCAAUUCAAAAAUAAAAAAAUAGGUAAGUAAGUAGGUAGGCGUCAAUUUUAUAGUGCGAUAGUCAUCAUAGGACAGAUUACCGAAUAGUUCCGAUAGCCAACGAUUCUCUUUAGUCACUUUAGUUUGUGUAUGUCGUAGGUUACAUUAAUUUUACUCGUAGGUUUCAUUAAUUCUUAAAUUUUCAAUUUUUUUUGGACUUUAGUCGAUACUACGCUUCCACGCAAUCUAUGCACAUGUCGUGGCAGUUUUUAAUUAAGGCUACACUAUAAACACAUAUUGUUUUCAAUUAUUUUUUUUACAGUUAAUUGUGUACCUAUGUCUUGUUAGCUGUCCUUAAAUAUAAUAUAAAUUUUAUAAUACCGUCCGUUUGGUUUUAUUCUGGGAUCUUUACCUUUGAUAUUCGUAUGGUUACCUACAGAUAUUUUUUUUAAUAGGUAACGAAAUAAGAUUUUUUUUUAAUUUACAAUGUUAAUGAAUGGCGUUAAUAUAGGAUAAGCUGAUAACAUGCAUGAGUCAUUCCUUAUGAAUUGAUAAUUCACGUGCAUUAUUUAACUUUCGCUGACCGUUAUUGAAUAAAUCAGUGUUCGCAAAUACAUAGGUAAAUUUAAAAAAGUAAAAAUAACAAAAUAAACUUAGUCCAAACUUAGGACCGGUAACGAAAUACUAAAAGCCACUUGUCUAAAGCUUCAGCCAAACCAACACGAAGUGAUCGCCAUAGCAUGCACGCCUUGGUUUGGCUUGGUGUGACCGAUCAACUGAUGCAAUUUGUAUGGAAAAGUAAUCAUUUUUUUUUGUAUUUCGUUAUUGUAAAAUGUUGUAAAUAGUCGCCCCAUUCGGAUCGGAAAAGGUUAUUCUUACAAUUUUACCCUUAAAACUGCAGGAGGUUAAGUUACCUAUACAACAUCGAAACUGUCGCGCACUAAUUCAUGUUAAAUGUUACUUACCUAAAUAUUAUACUAUAAAUAAAUAAGUAGUUCGUGAGUACAGUAAGCAAUAUAAAGCAUUGAGAUAAGUUAUAAAAUUUAGGUAUGCAGAUAUUUACCAGUUAUUUAAUUUUACUCAGCUUCGGGAACUUUAUAGCCUUUGGCUGAAUUUCGGACGAUCUUAGAAUAUGGUGCAGUCCUGUUGUCCCCCCUGGCUAGGGGAGACAACAGGACUAAAUUUUUAAUCAAUGAUUUGAGGACUGUUAAUUCCUCCCUGGCAAACAUUGAGUAUUUAGAAGCCAUAUAUUUUUAUAACUUUUAAGAUGAACUGAAAAUGGAGUACCUUACUGAAUGUCAUACUUAUUGCCAAACUAAAUACCUAAACGAAUGUCAAAUAAUAAUUAACAUUUUGUUAAUGAAAAAAAUAUAAGUUGUUGGUACCGGCAGUACCGGUAUCCGAAAAUCUUUAAAUGAAUUAUCCCUACUAAAUAAUUUAAGUAAAUGCGAAAAACUUUAUCUGUCUGUCUGUUACAAAUUCACGCCUAAACCAUUGAACCGAUUUUGAUAUUUGGUAAAGAGAUAGUUUUGAGUCCCGGGAAAGGACGUGGGAUAGUUUUUAUGCCAGUUUUUGAAACAGGAAGGCGCUCUUAUAUUUUUUUCUGUGACAGACAAAAUUUUACGCAGACAAAGCCGAGGGCAAAAGCUAAGUUAAAGGUAUGCUAUUCUCAUGUAUAAAAAAUAUUAUCUUCUGUAAAGUUUACUAAAAAUCCGUUUAGUAGUUUUUAAAUAAGUGAAAGAGUAUCAAACAUCCAUACUCACAAACUUUGACAUUUAUAAUAUUAGUAGGUAGGACGCUAAAACGGCAAAAUUUUAAAUUAAUCAUAAUAUUUAACACUUGCUCAGUGAUUCAACAAGCGGCCGCCCGCGACUUCGUAUGCGUGGAAUCCGUUUUAAAAUUUCGUAAAAUUCUAUUAUAUCCUUCAUAUUAUUUCAUUUCCUUAAAUAAAUAGUUAAAUAAAAUCCGUUCUUGGCAGACAUGUCUACACUCAAUAAGGAACUUACCUGCCAAGUUUUAAGUUUGUAGGUGUCAGUAUCGGCACCAACACCUUAUUUUUUUCGUUAUCAAAAUGGUAAUUAUUAUUUAACAAACGGUUAGGUAUUCAGUUUGGCAAUUUGGCAUUCAGUCAGGUCAGGUACUUCAGUAUUUAAAAAAAUAUUUUAUACAUAAUCAAAAAGGCAUAUCAGUACAGUUUAUGUAUAAUACCCUAAGUUCCAAUACCAGCAGUACCUAUGCAAUAGGUACAAUAAUAAGUAAUAUUAAUCUUAACAUUGUGUCAUCGGGUUAUAAACGGCGUUACGAUAAAAAAAUUUCGUCUAGUUUCGUCCAUGUUAGUCAUGUUAGAGAAGUAGUUUUUGGAACGUUCAAUUUAAAGCAGGAGGAAGGGGUUAACAAACGGGACUACAUAUUUUGAAAUGUUAAGACAUUUUAUGAGAAAUUUUACAGACGAUUCCGAUGAAGUAGGUUAUAAGUACAGGGUGAAAACGAUAUCUCACUCGAAUUUUUAUAAACUAUAAGUACCUACUUACAAGAUAUCGAAAAACUGAACCUGAAAGUGCUUCACGAGCUGUUUCAAAUGAUAUUAACAAUAGGUUACAGAAUAAACCAUACCACAUAAUAGAAGUGUUAAAAAUUUAAAUUCUUAUUUAAAAUUAUUUGUGGGAAACAUUGGUUUUACUUGCUAUAAUAGGUAUUCUCAAGAGAUGAGUGCAAUGACUAUGCUUGUACUAAAUUUAUGAAAGCUUGGUUUUGGAUAGAUCCAGUUCGUUUAUUGAUACCGUUCGUUAGGUCUCGUUUAGGAUAAGUACUUAACCAGUUUUACGAUAUCUUGUAAUAGUUUUCAAUAUUGUGUAGCUAUACUAAAUGUAUGAAAGUUGACCCAGGUGAUCAAAGUGGAUGGAUAGAUCCAGUUUAUUCUGUAAUCUAUUAUUGAUACAGUUUGAUAGAACUCGUGAAGCACUUUCAGGAUCGGUUACUAUUUUUUCGAUAUCUUUUAGUUUAGAAAUAAUCGAAGUGAAUCACUUAUCGUUUCCACCCUGUAUAAUUCGGUUACGUCAGAAAAAAAGAUUACGUAGGAACUUAAAAAAAUAAUUUCAAUGUUACCAAAGCUAACAUAAGACAUUUUAAUGUGUUCACACGAUUCCACUCAGGAACGAAGACCCAUCAGGAUCAUUCGCGGAAAAUAUUCUCAAUUCUCAAACGGGUGGUGUUCAGCUAAUUAUUGCAAAUCAGACAUUGAAAUCAUCUUUUGAUCUUAAAUGGUACAUUUGGAUGUUAUAUAAACUUGGAAGGAUCACUGAUAAUGAUCGGCGAAGAAACUAGAAUAAAAAGAAAAAUCGUCAGCAACCUACGCAAAUAAACUAAGAUGGGUUACCUACGUCGCGUCGUUUUUUAUAUUAUCAUGCUUUCCCUUAUUUGGAAAUCAUGCUGUCCAAAUGAUUUAGUCAAAACAAAGACAUAUUUAAAGUGCUUAACAAGACGAUAUUAUGUAAUAGAAUUCAUAACCGAUACUACGAAAAGUAUAGACACAACGCGCUAUAUGAUGUUGUAACUAAUGACGAAAAUUGUUUGGACACAAUGUAUUGCGUAGCUUGCCAGUAUGAAAAGCCAGCAGUUACUUAGAUAUGUUUAGAUUGAUUGAUUCAUUGUUUAUGUACUGAUAUUAGUGAAUCAACAAAAAAUUUCCGCGAGUGCAUUGAGCUUCUUGUUUAUAGAAUGACCUGUAGUUUAAGAUAGGUACAAUCAGCGUCAAAUAGUUCAUGACACCCAAGUAGCCAAAAGGGUUAUGCUGCCACAAUUUUUUGGCCACUUUGGAUGUCACGAACUAUUUGACGCUGACUGUACCUAGUUACGUAGUAUGUUUCACUCCUUGUGCUUUUCACUUUUGAGAGCUUUACACAAAGGUACUAUAGUAAUGAUGUAUUGUUGAUUUUUCAAUGUGUACCACACAUUUAUCUAGGGAGAAAGCGCGUUACGAGAACCAUGGAAACGCAAUUAAUUAUGCAGUGCUUUUCAUUUCCAAUAGAUGCUCUACAUGCAGUGUUUUUUUAUUUCAUGCUCUAGGAUAUGAUUCAUAAACAUUAAUUUGUCUUUCAGAAAUCAACAUUACAUUACCAACUUUCGAUGUAUCAUUUGGGCAGCAUGAAUUUCAAAUGUCAUUAAAGUACGUAGGUACCUACUGACGAUUGUGUAAAACGGAUAAAAUAACCAUAUUGUCACUAGGUAAUCGUUAACAUGAAUGAAUUAUAUGUAGAGGUAGGUACUUCUACUUUACUAUUUCUGGUAGGUAGGUACCUACUUACUCAGGCAAUUUGUAGGGAGUAAAAAUUUGGCUGUAAAUCAGUUCCAAGUCAAACUCAUUUGGAAGAUUUUUUAUUCGAUUCACAGAAAGCGUAAUAAAUAUAAAUAAAAUAAAGUGUACCUAUGUAUCGUGUUGAGGGUGGUGUUUAUUACGAUUAAUUUAGAUUUAAUAAUUAAGCGACUAUGCUAAGCUAUUUUGAAUGCGUUCCAUGGUAGGUAAAUCGUAGCAGAUUACCUACUUAAUUAUAAACAUAUUUAUUCUUUGUAUGCAUUACUAGUAUGGUAGGAUUCACGGACGGAAACUAAAUACUUUCUUUCUCUUCCGGAAACUUAGGUAUUUUAUUGUCAUUUCUUUUACAAGUAGGUAGGUACUUACUUAUUCCGAAACCUAAAUCUGCCAUCAUAUUCAUUACCGGAGUCCGCACACAUGGCAUAGAAUCAUUUGUACGAGACCUUAUCACCUUACAUUAUCGCGUAUGAUAGACGGUCAUAACUAAAAACGAAUCAAAUUGCUGAUGCGCAUCACAUUCAUUAAAGUUGUCAAUUAAUUCAAGGUUCUAUUCUAUUUAAAAAAUAAAGUUUCGAAUGUCAAAAUAGAUAAUGAAAAUGUUAUUAUUUAUUCCAAGAUUUUAACAUAAGAUUGUGUACAUAGUUAAGUAUCAAGUUAGGUAGACUGCCAUUGUUAAAUAAAUUACUAAUUAUUAUUUGGUAAUUAGGUAUACCUAAUAGAUACUUAGAUGAGAACAUAAGCGACAUAUCAAAUGUGAAUGACCAAUCGUUUUGCGGAGAAAAUUUCUAAAUUCCAAUGUUCAGAUCCGUUCUCUUUUUUUCAUUUGCAGUUGGGAAUUUAAGUGUCAAAAUAUCAAUAGGUGUUUUAAAGAAUUGGUAACCAUUUUUCUGAUAAAUGAGCCGAUAGUCUAGUAAAAAUAUUGUAGGUAUAGCUUAGGUUGCAUUUCCGUAAAAGAUGAUAACUAUUUACCUUUACCUUUGUUUAUAUUACUCUUAAUUUUAAUCCCAAAUGGUUUUUUUUUAAAGAAUAAUAAGUACCUACAUACCUAUACCUAGUCCGAUUUUAAAUUCGGCAGAAUUCUGACAGCUGUCAUUUUUUGACAAUUCAGAUGUAAUAAGCCUUUUUUGCUUUAAAUUAUUAAUAAAAAAUGUGUAUGAAACGAAAUUACAUCAAGUACAACUUACAAGAAUGAACUAUUGUUUGAUGUACACUAAUUAUUAUGUACAUUUUAGAGAUUAGAUAGAAGAAAAAAACGUGUUUUUAACACAGUAAAACAAAUUAUUAUCAUAAACGGAAAUAUGUAUUGAUCAUCAAUCAUCAUUAUCGUCAUCAACUUGGAUUAUAAAAUUGGCAUCUUGUUAAACUGGCUAUUUUAUGAAGCGAAGAUUUUACUAACAAAAGGAUUUUCAUAAUAAAGGUUUGUAACCUAUGGAUUAUUAGCCAGGGAGUCCAGUAAUAGAAAAAAAGUCCCUAUUUUUUUUGCCUGAACAAAAAGUUCACUAAUAGUGGAAUAAGCCAUUUUUUGGUAACUUCAAAAAUAUGAUAAUAAAAACUCAAAUAACCAUUUAGAAAUGAUCAGUACAUUUUUAAGUCUUAGUUUUUCAAUUGAAACCGUAAAUUCAAGGUAGGAUUAGUUUUUAAUUUGUGAAAAUGCUCUUCAUUCUUAGUGGGAAUGUUUCAAUGUUGGCAACACUUCUGCGUGGAAUUAAAAAUCAGACUAUAGUAAAUUUGUAAUGGCAAUUACUGAUAGUUAAAGGAAUCAAUAAAUUAUUGAGUAUUGAAUUCCGUUAAUCGCUCGUAAUAAGAUAAUAUGAUAAACAUGCUUGUGUUUCGAGUGGGUUCACCACCACCACAACAGUCGAGCGGUAGCAGGUUCGAACCUUGAACCAGCGUUCCUCGGAUGUAGUCGGCCAGUCCGUCCGACCCCUUCACGUUCACACCGUUCGGCUAUCGUGCUUUCAAUUUUGUGCAUGUUUGUAGGUAGGUAUCUUCUUAAUCUUGUUCUCACUUUAAUACAUUAUUACUAAAGAAAGGUAUUUCUCUAAUUCAUAUUACAAUGUUAUAACAAUUUUUUCGGGAGUUAUCUGUUUAUAGUGCAACCUGAAACUUUAUUUUUACUAAUAUUGUGGACAUUUAUCUAUAUUGGUGUUUACACAAGUUCUUUAAAACAACUUUAUUUAAAAAAAAAUUAAACAAAUUUGACACCAUUAGAAGCCAAAACCUCCAUAAUGCCCAAUACAUUAACUGGCAUGUAAAUUAAAUCUCAAUAAUCUGGCAUUAGUAAAAUGGGGAAAAUUUGUGUCAAAAAUGAUACAGUUAAGCCGAGUCGACCUAUAAGUACCCUAUACCCUAUAAUAAUAUAGUAUAAUCAAUACGAUAUUCUACCGCGUUCUAUUGAGAAUGUUAUUGUUAUCGGUUACUACAAAAAUAUUUCGACAGCCGUUUUUUGAAUUAAUUGGGUGCCCUUUGAUUCGGUACCUUACCUACCAACAAAGAUUUAUUACUGUUGGUAGUUGUAACGUGUGAUUAUACUCUUCAUGUAUCAUAACUGGAUAAUAUUAUUCCUAACAAAGUAUUUAUUUACUUUUAUCGCAAAAAUAUCCUUAUGUGUAGGUAAUAGUUAUGGCCUUACGUAUAGACGUAUAAUCUGACUUUGAAUUGUUCUCUCGUAGACGUAUCGACGACAUGUUCUGGAGCGCUGGUCGGUGUCGACUGCACUGCUGAGUAUCUUCAAGUAGAUCCUAUUGAAGAUGCACCAGUGGCAGGUGACCUAAGCUUUGCUUCAGUCUUUGAACAGAUUGAGGUCA